rnacentral:rRNA from 1 species
GCCAGUAGCCAUAUCACCCUGCAGCUCGCAACUGGCAACCCACUGAAGCUAAGCAGGCGAGAGUCUGGCCAGUACCUGGAUGGGAUUCCUCCUGGGAAAAACUAAGAUUUCUGUUGGAA